AUGAUCCCUAUAGGGCGCGGUCAGCGAGAGUUAAUUAUUGGGGAUAGACUGACUGACACAACAGCAGUAGCCACAGAUACAAUUCUCAAUCAAAAAGGGCAAGGUGUAAUAUGUGUUUAUGUAGCUAUCGGUCAAAGAGCAUCCUCUGUAGCUCAAGUAGUAACUACUUUCCAUGAGGAGUGGGCCAUGGAAUACACUAUUGUAGUAGCUGAAAUGGCGAAUUCACCUGCUACAUUACAAUACCUCGCUCCUUAUAUGGGAGCAGCCCUGGCUGAGUAUUUUAUGUACCGCGAACGACAUACUUUAAUAAUUUAUGAUGAUCUCUCCAAACAGGCACAAGCUUACCGCCAAAUGUCCCUUCUAUUAAGAAGACCUCCCGGCCGUGAGGUUUAUCCAAGGGAUGUUUUUAUUUGCAUUCAAGCCUUUUAG
rnacentral:rRNA from 1 species